UACGUAGGGUGCGAGCGUUAAUCGGAAUUACUGGGCGUAAAGCGUGCGCAGGCGGUUAUUUAAGUCAGGUGUGAAAGUCCUGGGCUUAACCUAGGAAUUGCGCUUGAGACUGGAUAGCUUGGAGUGCGGCAGAGGGAGGUGGAAUUCCACGUGUAGCAGUGAAAUGCGUAGAGAUGUGGAGGAACACCGAUGGCGAAGGCAGCCUCCUGGGCCAGCACUGACGCUCAUGCACGAAAGCGUGGGGAGCAAACAGG
rnacentral:rRNA from 1 species